UUUUUUUUUUUUUUUUUUUAGAGAGAGGAAUAUUGAAGUGUUUAGGGGUGGAAUUUUAUAAUAUCCAUCGUUACUUGGAAUGAACUUCAGGAAAAAAAAAAAUACAACAAAAUAUUACCACAACAGGCAUUCCCAUCAUGGCUUGGUGGUAACAAAUCUGACCAGUUCUAUGAGGACACAGGUUCGAUCCCUGGCCUUGCUCAAUUGGGUCAAGGAUCCGGCAUUGCUGUGAGCUGUGGUGUAGGCUGGCAGCUGUAGCUCUGAUUUGACCCCUAGCCUGGGAACCUCUGUAUGCCAUGGGUGCAGCCCUAAAAAGCAAAUAAAUAAAUAAAUAGUCAGACUGACCAGGACAGCAUGAAGAUUUAGCAAUUAAGACAGAUGAAGUGGGAACACAGAAGAUUUAACUGUUAGACAUUCAGAUGCUCCCAGUGUGACUACACAAACCAAUAUUUAAAUUGUGGCUUUUCCUGAAACUGGGCCCUUAGCCCUCUUCCAUCUUUCCACACUUCUCCUACUGACUGUAUCCAGGCCCGGGCCUCCCUUAUGCAGGCACCAGCCCCACCCUCUUCUGGUCAAUUGUGCUGCCUGCUCACAUCAAGAGUGCCAGUCUGGGAGCCCAGAAUCCUCCCACACCUAUGCUCCCCUCCAGGGCUCCAGCCCGGCACUGAGGGGUACUGCCAUCUCCAGCUUCAGGAGCCAGGACUCCAGUGCCAGAGCGGGGUACCCCCAGGACAGAGGAUGCUGCUUAUCAGAUACCAUCUAUCAUAAAAGAGUUUGGUCCACCCUGCUUGGUAAUCGAGGUAUUACCUUCAUGAUCAUCAGCCUUUGGCAGCCACCAAAAAUAAAGACCUGGUUUCCCAGAAAUAAAAGAAUCACAUGAGAGUCAUUUUUGAAGUCCCCAUGUGGCGCAACAGAAUCAGCAGCGUCUCUGUGGUGCCAGGAUGCAGGUUCGAUCCCCAACCUGGCACAGUGGGUUAAAGGAUCUGAUGUUGCUGCAACUUCGGCAUAAGCUGCAACUGCGGCUUGCAUCUGAUUCCUGGCCCAGGAACCCCAUAUGCCAUGGGGUGGCCAAAAAUGAAAAGAAGAGAGAGAAAUAGAAUGAGGUUUUUGUUUUGAUUUGUUUUUUGGAGGUUUUUUUGUUGUUGUUUUUUAGCUUUUUAGGGCUGCACUCACGGCAUAUGGAAGUUCCCAGGCUAGGGGUCCAAUCGGAGCUGCACUUGCUUGGCCACAGCCACACCAAAUCCAAACUGCAUCUGAAACCUACACCAUAGCUCACGGCAACAGCCACGCUGAAUCCUUAACCCACUGAGUGAGGCCAGGGAUCAAACCCCCAUCCCCAUGGACCCUAGUUGGGUUCAUUAACCGCUGAGCCAGGAAGGGAACUCUGAAAGAGUCAUUUUUGAAUUGUUAAACCUACUGUAAUAGAAACUAAAUAUUCUUCCUUCUACUGGUAUCUUUGGUAGAGGCUGAAUCUGACUAUACCUAAGAUUCCAAUUCAAUCACUUUUCAGGAUUCAUAGGAGACAACUUAUGUAAUUCAUUCUUAACGGCAAAAAAACAUUAAAAUUGAUGCAAGCUACCAUUUUGCCAGACAAAAUUAUAAGCUAAUAGAAAAUUUCCCUGCUAAUAUAAAGUCAAAAUGAAUGAAUAAAUCUGUUAUUUAAAUUCCAAUCAGGUUAGUUUUGUUUUUUUUAAUCUUUCCAUAAUUCCUCAGUUUAAAAAACCCCUCUUUUUUCUGAGUGGAAAAAAAAAAAUCAGACUUGUUCAAUUUCAAGGUGGAAGAGUAAGAUGGUAACACAUAAUUAAGUCAGGCAAUUUCAUUCCAAUCUCUCUUUAAGGCUCUGCCUUUUGAUUUCAAUUGCUUUAAAAGAAAAGCAAUGUUCAGUGUGUAGACAUUUUUUAAAACCCAAAGGCCUAAGUUCCUAAUUUUCUCUCACUCAUUUGCAGCUAAAGCAAACCCAAAGUGGAAGAAAGUGUUGAGGGGCAGGUGAGUUAGGGGAGAGGUGGAAAAAAUCUAUAUGGUGAAAGUCGAAAAAGCAAGAAUUAGCUCAGAUUAUACAAAAGUCCCCCGCCAUUCCUUAGUCACAGAUAACAGGCAGAGAUAGUACCAGCUGCAAAGUGAACAGGAAACAGUAUUUCUCCCACGGACACACUGCAGCUGUAAACACUGAUAUAAUACCCC
rnacentral:lncRNA from 1 species